rnacentral:rRNA from 1 species
GACGAACGCUGGCGGCGUGCCUAAUACAUGCAAGUCGAACGCUUCUUUCCUCCCGAGUGCUUGCCCUCAAUUGGAAAGAGGAGUGGCGGACGGGUGAGUAACACGUGGGUAACCUACCCAUCAGAGGGGGAUAACACUUGGAAACAGGUGCUAAUACCGCAUAACAGUUUAUGCCGCAUGGCAUAAGAGUGAAAGGCGCUUUCGGGUGUCGUUGAUGGAUGGACCCGCGGUGCAUUAGCUAGUUGGUGAGGUAACGGCUCACCAAGGCCACGAUGCAUAGCCGACCUGAGAGGGUGAUCGGCCACACUGGGACUGAGACACGGCCCAGACUCCUACGGGAGGCAGCAGUAGGGAAUCUUCGGCAAUGGACGAAAGUCUGACCGAGCAACGCCGCGUGAGUGAAGAAGGUUUUCGGAUCGUAAAACUCUGUUGUUAGAGAAGAACAAGGACGUUAGUAACCGAACGUCCCCUGACGGUAUCUAACCAGAAAGCCACGGCUAACUACGUG